AAGGGUAUAGCACAGGGGUAGAGUGUGUGUUUAGCAUGCAUAGGGUUCUGGGUUCAAUCCCCAGUGCCUCCA
rfam:Camelus ferus unplaced genomic scaffold scaffold1954, whole genome shotgun sequence.